rnacentral:lncRNA from 1 species
CAACCUGGCAGCUCUUUUCCACGUUUCAGACUCUUUCUGCCAUCCCCCCGGGGAACAGGGGGCCAUUUGCUGGGAGGGGGUCUUUGAUGGAGCUCCUGCCUGCUCACUGAAGCCAGCGGGACCGUCGAGAGACCCAGGCAUCGAGGCCGGAGCAGGGUCAAGCCUCUCCUAAUUCCUCGUCCUGUGGACUUUCCGCCUCUCUCCAUUAACUCAAAUCACAGGACAGGAAUCAGCUUUCAAUAACCUUCCUUGUCUUGCUCCCCAUCUAUUUAAAUAUCUCAAGCAGACUCUGGGGAACCUGCAGCUGCUUCCAGCCGAGAGAGAGGAAAUCCACAGCAAACCCGCUUUUCUACGCCUCGCGCCUGGUUUGCAAGCCCACGUGGGCUGUGGAGGUAUGAGAGGCACCCCGGCAGGACAGACGCUCCGAGCCUCCCACGUGACCUGCUUUCUUCCCGGAAUCGGUGUGACUAUCCUUUGAAAGAUGCAUCAGAUUUCUACGGAUGUCCCCAGCAAUCCCUCUCCUGGAUGCCCGGCGCGGCUGGCAGGCAAAUCAAUUGGUCCAGCAGCUCUACACAGAGCUGAGCUGACAUCUCCCAGUGAAACCCUGGCGCUUUGAGCCCGGGCACCUGGGUCUGCUCAGCACAGAGCAACGGGCAGGUGCCGGCAGCGCUGUCAGCUGAGCAGUGGGAAGGGACAAGCAGCUAUGUCAAAAAUGACACGCCGGCUUCUGCUGGUCUUGCAAAAGAUAUCUGCAGUGAUGUGACUGCGGCUGACAGCCAGCAACAGAAGUGGCUGGUUUCUGUGCUGGAUUGAAAUUCAUCCAGCUCCCUGAGUUCACAGCGAUGGCUUCCAAUGUGAAUCCUCAGUGAGCCAGGCGUGAAAUAUAUUCACAGGCGUCACUCGGUCAGGGCCCUUUGGAGUUAUUGAGGGACCUGGGGUGGAAACAUCUGUGCCACUCGCGUUUGUGCAUUUUUGUUCCCUUGGUUUCAAUUAUGCAGUCAGAGCGUCUUUGGGCAAGAAGGGGAGAGAGAGAGGGAGAGAGAGGGAGA